UCGACGGUUAUCGGAUUACUGGGCGUAAGCGUGCGCAGGCGGUUGUGUAAGACAGGUGUGAAAUCCCCGGGCUUAACCUGGGAACUGCGCUUGUGACUGCACGGCUAGAGUACGGCAGAGGGGGGUGGAAUUCCACGUGUAGCAGUGAAAUGCGUAGAUAUGUGGAGGAACACCGAUGGCGAAGGCAGCCCCCUGGGCCGAUACUGACGCUCAUGCACGAAAGCGUGGGGAGCAAAUAGGAUUAGAUACCCUGGUAGUCCACGCCCUAAACGAUGUCGACUAGUCGUUCGGAGAGGUAACUCACUGAGUGACGCAGCUAACGCGUGAAGUCGACCGCCUGGGGAGUACGGCCGCAAGGUUAAAACUCAAAGGAAUUGACGGGGACCCGCACAAGCGGUGGAUGAUGUGGAUUAAUUCGAUGCAACUCGAAAAACCUUACCUACCCUUGACAUGCCUGGAAUCCUUGAGAGAUCAGGGAGUGCCUUCGGGAACCAGGACACAGGUGCUGCAUGGGCUGUCG
rnacentral:rRNA from 1 species